GAGACAGCAGCAGCCACGGGAAUACGUAGGUGGCAAGCGUUGUCCGGAAUUAUUGGGCGUAAAGGGCUCGCAGGCGGUUUCUUAAGUCUGAUGUGAAAGCCCCCGGCUCAACCGGGGAGGGUCAUUGGAAACUGGGAAACUUGAGUGCAGAAGAGGAGAGUGGAAUUCCACGUGUAGCGGUGAAAUGCGUAGAGACGUGGAGGAACACCAGUGGCGAAGGCGACUCUCUGGUCUGUAACUGACGCUGAGGAGCGAAAGCGUGGGGAGCAAAUGGGAUUAGAUACCCCAGUAGUCCCUGUCUCUUAUAC
rnacentral:rRNA from 1 species